CUCAAGACCUACGUGCGUGCCUCAACCCCCGUUUGGAUCUCCUCUCUCCGAUUUGUUGGAUCUAGGGUUUUGAUUUCCCUGCUUUCUGUGAAGGACUCGUGCUUUUAUCUGCUUUAGGUUACUCUGUAUGUGUAAUUUGAGAUGAUUUGCUUGUGGCAGAAACUGCUGAUGUUUGUAAAUAUUUGUUGGCUGGCUGUUGCUGCAGGUGCUUGGGCCAUACUCGACCUGCAUUAAGAAUGUGGAGAAGGAGAUGAAGGAAAUGGCCAAGAAGAUCAGUAACCUUUGUGGUUGUGGUGCUGAACAUCGCAUGACUUCUGGAUUUAGAUGAUGCAAAGAGUAUAUUAAGUUUGUGCAUGGUGGUUGGUCUUGGGCUCUUUGGCUCCUGCUCAAGACCAACUGACUGCUGAUCUGAAGGCAAAGAUAAGUGCAGAUCCGAGUACCCGUGACGCCAUGGACGAAGCCCUCAAAGCGAAGGAUGCAGCAGAGUGCAGGUUCCAUGUCGGUAACAUCAAGGGUGCUCGGAGGUCAGCAAUCAAUGCUUAUAACUUAUCCACCAAUGAGAACUUGGACGAAGAUCAUAGCAGUCCUGGGAUUCACGCUGCUGCAGGGCCAGGACUCACUGAGGAGUGCGCCACCUUGGGUGGGUGCCGGACUAGCAUGGCUAAGAUGACUAAUGCUUAUGAUCCGCCUACCAGGUAUGUCCAAUAUAACUGCUUCUUACAUUUUGUAUAAUAUAUUCUAUCUACUCGAAAAAUAUGAAAUCACCUGUAUUUGCAGUCAGACUAUUACAGUCUAAUGGCAUUCAGUAGUUUCUGAUUAAUCUGGCAAGCCUUUCUUUUAGCUGCAUCCCUUUGACGGUAAUUGAGAGCCCAUCAUUUACUUUUGUUCAUUUGAGAUCCCAUGAUUUGUUGGCAGCUUCUCUUUUUUUUAUUGAUUUAGUGAAAUGAUAUUGUAGUUUACUGUGCUUAGCAAACUACAAGACCACAAAUUGUCUCAUUAUUGAGCA